rnacentral:rRNA from 1 species
CCAGACUCCUACGGGAGGCAGCAGUGGGGAAUAUUGCACAAUGGGGGAAACCCUGAUGCAGCGACGCCGCGUGAAGGAAGAAGUAUUUCGGUAUGUAAACUUCUAUCAGCAGGGAAGAAAAUGACGGUACCUGACUAAGAAGCCCCGGCUAACUACGUGCCAGCAGCCGCGGUAAUACGUAGGGGGCAAGCGUUAUCCGGAUUUACUGGGUGUAAAGGGAGCGUAGGCGGUGCGGCAAGUCAGAAGUGAAAGCCCGGGGCUCAACUCCGGGACUGCUUUUGAAACUGUUGAACUAGAUUGCAGGAGAGGUAAGUGGAAUUCCUAGGGUAGCGGUGAAAUGCGUAGAUAUUAGGAAGAACCCCAGGGGCGAAGGCGGCUUACUGGACAGUAACUGACGUUGAGGCUCGAAAGCGGGGGGAGCAAACAGGAUAAGAUCCCCGAGUA